UACCAGCACCCCGAGUGGUCGGGACGAUUAUUGGCCGUAAAGCAUCCGUAGCCGGUUCUACAAGUCUUCCGUUAAAUCCACCUGCUUAACAGAUGGGCUGCGGAGGAUACUAUAGAGCUAGGAGGCGGGAGAGGCAAGCGGUACUUAGUGGGUAGGGGUAAAAUCCGUUGAUCCAUUGAAGACCACCAGUGGCGAAGGCGGCUUGCCAGAACGCACUCGACGGUGAGGGAUGAAAGCUGGGGGAGCAAACCGGG
rnacentral:rRNA from 1 species